UACGUAGGGUGCGAGCGUUAAUCGGAAUUACUGGGCGUAAAGGGCUCGUAGGCGGCCAACUAAGUCAGACGUGAAAUCCCUCGGCUUAACCGGGGAACUGCAUCUGAUACUGGAUGGCUUGAGUUCGGGAGAGGGAUGCGGAAUUCCAGGUGUAGCGGUGAAAUGCGUAGAUAUCUGGAGGAACACCGGUGGCGAAGGCGGCAUCCUGGACCGACACUGACGCUGAGGCGCGAAAGCGUGGGGAGCAAACAG
rnacentral:rRNA from 1 species